GUAGGGUGCAAGCGUUGUUCGGAAUCAUUGGGCGUAAAGCGCGUGUAGGUGGUCUGCUAAGUCGAUUGUGAAAUCCCUGGGCUCAACCGAGGAAGUGCAGUCGAAACUAGUAGGCUAGAGGACAGCAGGGGAAGGUGGAAUUCCAAGUGUAGAGGUGAAAUUCGUAGAUAUUUGGAGGAAUACCGGCGGCGAAGGCGGCCUUCUGGACUGUUCCUGACACUGAGACGCGAAAGCGUGGGUAGCAAACAGGAUUAGAUACCCUGGUAGUCCACGCCGUAAACGAUGGGCACUAGAUGUUACAGGAAUUGACCCCGGUAGUGUCGUAGCUAACGCAUUAAGUGCCCCGCCUGGGAAGUACGGCCGCAAGGUUA
rnacentral:rRNA from 1 species